ACACAAGACUUGACUUAGUUAAAGUAAACAAAGUCUUAUAUUUUGCUGUAUAAAAAGGGCCCUAGCUCACUGUUUAACUCUAGCUAGAAGAGGAGGAGGAAGAAAUGGAGACCUAGUGUUGCCCCAUCUCUUGUUUCGUCUGGAAGAGCAGAAGAAAACGACAUGAAGAGAUGGCAACGUGAAUCACAACUACCAAAUUCA
rnacentral:misc_RNA from 1 species